rnacentral:rRNA from 1 species
CUCAGUUCGGAUCGGAGUCUGCAACCCGACUCCGUGAAGCUGGAUUCGCUAGUAAUCGCGCAUCAGCCAUGGCGCGGUGAAUACGUUCCCGGGCCUUGUACACACCGCCCGUCAAGCCAUGGAAGCCGGGGGCGCUUGAAGUGCGUUGCCGCAAGGCGCGCCCUAGAGCGAAACCGGUGACUGGGGCUAAGUCGUAACAAGGUACC